AGGCAUGUGGAUAAUUUCAAAGUCUUUUAAAAUCCGCGAUACCAAAGUCUCAGCACCAAGAAAUCAUCAAAGAAAUUCAUGUUUAUAUCCUUAAUUGAGUUUUGUCUCACUAAAGCCCAACUCUUGAAUCUUCGAAGAUCUCUCGUCUUCUUCGUGAUUACUCACACCUCAGCGAAAUACCAUUCCCUGAAUCUCCUCGCACUACUCUGACUCGCCACCCCCACCACUCACUACAGAGUCCAAGAAACCCAGUUCUCCAUCUACUUUCUUUUUUUUGGAGCAGUGGUUUAAUAGGCGAUGAUUGUCCCGUCUAGGGAGAAUGGAAACUAAUGGUAGCAAUUCUAAUUCCAAUGAAAAUCAGCCUUCCGAUGCUUCAAAUAUUGAUAGGAGAGAGAAGCUUACUGAGAAAGAAGUCUUUAUUAAUCAUGCAGAGGUAGCUUGGCAAGAGAGAAGAAGAGAAUGGGUCGGUGAUCAGUCUCAGAAAUCACAAAGAGCGCCAAGAGAACCAAUUAUGAGCUGGACCACAACGUAUGAGGAUCUUCUUUUAUCUACCGAACCUUUUCAGGAGCCAAUACCUUUAGCUGAAAUGGUGGAUUUUUUAGCUAAUAUCUGGCAAGAAGAAGGCCUCUAUGACUAGUUGAUUGGAUAUCCUCCGUCCAUUAUGCACAGUAAGAAUUUUGGACCAUUUUCUUUGUGCUUAUUGAUGGUGACGCGAAGCUAUAUCUGAAAUUUAUUAUUCAAGGUAGAGUCGGUUUUCUUCAUCCUUAUUGCUUAAACCGGAGUCAUUUGCAGUGGAGAAGUGAAUCACAUAUCCAUUCAUCUUAGGUUCUUAGCACAUUUGACUGCUAAGCAUUUGUGUAAUGAACUAAUCAGGUUCUAUGGUUCGCUUUCAAUACAGAGUCAUUUGACUUUUGCCUUUUGACAACUCUUUCUUAUUGCAAUGAUGUACAGUCUAAUUUUCAACUUCAUGGUUCUUAUCCGGAUGAUUGUGGAGCUGGUACUGCAUUGUGUCGUCAAUUCCUUGUCCCUUCCAUUAACAGAAGGUUUUCGGAUUUUUGGUAAUGAUUCCAAAUGUUAUCGUCAACAGGCACAACUUAUUCUUAUGAACAAGUUUGCAAGGAAUGGCUUGCACAUAGCUGAAGAACUUCUCAGCAAAAUCGUCAUAUUCCCCGUCGUUGGGACGAUCGUGAAGCCUCCAGCGCUCAAACCACGGAUAGCGGUGUCAGCUGGAGCGGUCCAUACAUAUCUUCUCCGGGCUUGGGCUUGAUGAGGAAAGGUGAAGUUGGUCUCAAUGGUGCGAGCGGUAAUCUCGGCCGUAGCCAGUCGGGAAGCUAGUGGAAGUGAAGGCAAACCGUUCUCAAGCAAGUUAUGAUUAAAUCGCUGGCGCGAUUAAUAAGUGAUUUUUCAAAAUUUAAAAAAAAACAAAAAUUGUCGGAAGCUGGUGGCAAUCGAUCAGGUCGCGCGACUUUUGAUAACGUCUCCUUCUAUAAAUUUAAGCACGUCUCCCACUCACGGUAUGCUUAAACUUGGUGAGCACUGUUUGAGCCAUAAAUAAAAAUAU